rnacentral:lncRNA from 1 species
UAUAGCUCAAAAAAGUGAUUAUGAAAAAAUCAAUGUAAUUCAUCAUAUUCAGAAAAUAAAGGAGUAAAGCCAAGUGAUUAUCUCAAUAGCUGUGGACAAAUUAAUUGACGAAAUUUAAUGUUCCUUCCAAAAAAAUCUUUUAACAAAGUGGAAAUUAGAGGGAAUUUCUUUUAUGUGGUAAUGUGCACAUCAAAAACAAAACUUCAGUUAGCGGCACACUGAACACUUUUCUCCGAAGAUCAGGAACUGGAAAAUGAUGUCCAUUGUCUGUACAUGUACUCCACAUUUUACUGGAGCUGGGCUGCUCCUCUGACUCUGAGCAGGUUCUUCCCUCCGGUGACCCCGGGGAAGUAGCUGCAGGAUGCUUGGACACUGAUCGCAGAAGCUACUGUCCCCGGGCCAGGCGCUGCAGGGUCGAGCAGCCGCAGACCCAAAGAGUCCCUACAUUGUGGGGGGCACAUAUGAGGGUGAGCCCCCGCAAUACUUCACAUCUGCGCGGAGUCCCGGGGAGGUCGAGGCCACCUGGGGUUGGGCCGUUGGACCUCUCCCUUUGCCCUUUGUCGCUACUUCCUCCUGCCCUAGGCUCGCGCGCCCUGUCUCUGUCACCCGUUCCAACGGUGUCUCACCACAGCCGGCUGGACGGUGUGUGCCUAGCGCGGAGAGCUGGCAGCCAGGAGACCUCCCCGAGGGUCCCAGUCCUCUCCAAGGAUCCCACAGCGCGCAAACUGCUCCUCGGGGGCACGUUCCUCAACAAGCCUCGCACCCGCCCGCCCCGCUCCGUUCCUGUCUGGUCUAAAUAACCCUCCCGGCCUGGUUCGGGCUGUUUACUGCAGUCGCGGGUCCUUAUCGCCCCUAUUUUACACUGCGGCUAAGAGGCUAAGCUAAGGUCUGGUCUGGCAGGCCCAGUGCUCCUCUCUGUGAGUCCUUGCCUUGGUGCGGUGUGUGUGUGUCUGACCUUCGGGUCUCAGAAGCCAUUGCUGUCUGCUUGCUCUUCCAAGUUGCUCCUCUCCUCAGGAACGGGCACAAUUCCUCCUCCAGGAUGCAAAAUGACUCUCUUCCGUUUGGCGCUUGAGCAGGCAGCCUCCUCUCCGAGGCCUGGGCCAUCCCGUCGCCACUAGAUCUUUGCCUAAAGGGGACACACCUGAAGAUCCUACAAAAGGAAGAGCAGAGAAGAGGAGAAAAAUAGCACAGGAUGGACCGUCAGAGAAGUGCUCCUCGCUGGCCCCCAUAGCAGUGAGAGGGGGCCUUCAGCAGAAUUCUUUGUAUGGUCUGGAUACCAACCUUUUAUCAGGAAGAUUAGCCCUGAGCUAACGUCUGCUGCCAAUCUUCCUCUUUUUGCUGAGGAAGACCGGCUCUGAGCUAACAUCCGUGCCCAUCUUCCUCAACUUUAUAUGUGGGAUGCCUACAACAGCAUGGCUCACCAAGUGGUGCCAUGUCCGCACCCGGGAUCCAAACCAGCGAACCCCAGGCCGUCAGAGCAGAAUAUGCACACUUAACUGCUGCACCACCAGGCGGGCCCCUCAAGUGUUUUUUUGACAAAGUUGUCAAGACAAUUCAAUGAUCUUGGGGUAGGGAAAAAUAAUUAGAUGGAAAACAGAAAGCAUUAAACAAUAAUAAAUCAGACUUUAUCAAAAUUAAAGUUUAUUCUUGAAAGAAACUGUAACUGAAAGUACAAACAAG